rnacentral:lncRNA from 1 species
AUUAAGUUCGAUGAUGAUGAUGAUGUAUGGGGUUUUAUGGCGCAAGGGCCAGGAAUGGCCAAAGAGCGCCAUGUCUGUGGUAGUGGGUGUGCAGUGUAACUAUGAUUACUAUGAAAUUGGUGUGACGUGGCUGUAAAGGGGCCUUAAAAUAUACGCUCUACAUUGCGUAAAAUCUGUAAUAAAAUUAUGGCGAUGACAUAUGACCUGUACUAUGCGCAUUUCGAUGCAUUUAAAAAGAAUGAUACAAUAGGUAAAAUAUAUCAGAUUAUAAUAAAUGCUAGAGCACUACUGCCUCCUUAGAGCCCUUGAAACACAAGGGUCUGGAGGCAUGUGCUAUACCGUACAACUAUCCCAGCGGCAUCCUCUAAAGAGAGGAAGCGCUAGGAAUGCAUGGGGCUAAUAACAUGUAGGACCACAUCUCUCAGAAAACCUAGGACUGUGUCUGUGUUAAAAAGCGGUUCUGGGCCGAGGAACAUUACUGGAUGGAGAGGGAUGUGCUGUCUGUAAGCUAAGGAAAAAUGUUUCGUUCUUUCAAAUUCGGCUUCGCGACACUCCAGAAGGACGUGGAGCACGGUCAGCCUCUCCCCGCAUCUACCACAGGUUGGAGGCUCACUUCCGGAAUCUGUUGUCCACACAUUUGUAAGCAAGGAUCCGGAACUAGGCCUCUCUUCCUUGUAAACAGCACACAAGAACUUUUUUGAGGAUUGAUUUUAAAACCAUUUUUCUCUGCCCACCCUGACACCUUAUUCAAGCCAUGCUGUACCUGUCUCUCGCAUACUGCGAGGUUACAGGAUUUGAAGCCUAUUUGAAUGUCGUCCACAUAGACGGAAUACAAGAUGGCUGGUGGUAAGGACGCACGAAGCGUUGUCAUUUUAACAAUAAAAAGUGUGCAACUGA